rnacentral:rRNA from 1 species
UACGUAGGUGACAAGCGUUGUCCGGAUUUACUGGGCGUAAAGAGCGCGCAGGCGGUCGAUCAAGUCGAGUGUGAAAGCCCCCGGCUCAACUGGGGAGGGUCAUUCGAUACUGAUCGACUCGAAGGCAGGAGAGGGUAGUGGAAUUCCCGGUGUAGUGGUGAAAUGCGUAGAUAUCGGGAGGAACACCAGUGGCGAAGGCGACUACCUGGCCUGUUCUUGACGCUGAGGCACGAAAGCUAGGGGAGCAAACAGG